UUCGGCGGCCGAAACUGCCCUCCAGAGACGAAAGUCCUCUUUCGGGGGCAGGCUUCGGCAGCCGAAGGCUGCUUCCACAAGCGGGUUCGGCGGCCGAAAGUUCCUUCGGCGGCCGAACCUGAGUUUCUCCAAAGUGGCAGAAACUCAGCUCCAACAUGCACAAACGCCUCCCAAACCUUUCAAACAUGCAUAAACCUAUUCUACAACACUCCUAAUCAUACACAAUCAAGCAUACAAGUUCAUAGGGGUCUCAAACUAGCCUAAACCCCAACUACAACACAUCAAACAUACCCACAUUGCUCAAAAACACACAUUAAACCCAUAAACUCAAAACAACCUAAACAUGCAUUUCUACUUCAUGAAACAACUUAAAACUUGUUUAAAACAUAUAGUGAGCUCAAGAUCGGCCCUUACCUCUUGAAGAUCGAGAGGAAAACGACCCUAGCUCGGAGAGGGGAGAGAUUGAGUUUCUUGAACCUCAAAGCUCCAAAACUUGCUUUAUGCUCAAAAACCUUCAAAACAAAGUUGUAAACUCAUGAAAAUCAUGAAGAAUGGAAGGAAGAAACUCGAGAUCGGUGAGGGAUGGCAGAGAGCUCACCCUGGCCGAAAAUGGGGAGAAAAGCUCACCCGUUUCGGCUAAGGGACCCUUUUAUAGGUGGCUGGCCAGGCCACAUUCGGGGGCCGAACGUGCCUCCGCAUGCAUGCCAUGUUCGGCGGCCGAACCUGGUUUCCCUCACUUAUACUUUCGGGGGCCUAAGGCACACCCGAAACGCCUGCAUGUACCGCGGAGCUAGCUUACCUUUCUUCCCGAACCGAAUCACCCCUUUCAUUGGAGACACCUUGAGCAAUACCAAAUCCCCCUCCUGAAACUCUACUUGUCUUCUGCGGAUAUCUGCAUAACUCUUCUGUCUGCUUGCAGCAGUCUUGAUUCUUUCUCUGAUUAUGGGUACCACCCUGCUGGUGAUCUCUACUAGCUCAGGCCCUGCCAAGGCCUUUUCUCCAACCUCUUCCCAGCAAACAGGUGAUCUGCACUUCCUCCCAUACAAAACUUCAUAUGGAGCUAUCCCGAUGCUAGCAUGAUGGCUGUUAUUGUAGGCAAACUCCACCAAAGGUAGAUGCUGCCUCCAAGAACUGCCAAAGUCCAGCACACACAUCCUGAGCAUAUCCUCUAUUGUCUGGAUGGUCCUUUCUGAUUGUCCGUCCGUCUAUGGAUGGAAAGCAGUGCUAAAAUCCAACCUGGUACCCAUGGCAUUCUGCAGACUCCGCCAAAAUCUGGAGGUGAACUGGGGUCCUCUAUCGGACACUAUUGAAACAGGAACCCCAUGCAGCCUGACGAUCUCAUCAACGUACACCUGCGCCAACUUGUCCACAGAACAGCCACUCUUGACAGGGAUGAAGUGAGCAGAUUUGGUGAGUCUGUCCACAAUCACCCAUAUGGAGUCCAAUCUGUUGGACGUCGCCGGUAACCCCACUACGAAGUCCAUAGCUAUAUUCUCCCAUUUCCACUCUGGAAUAGGUAGCGGGUUAAGCAUUCCAGCCGGCUUCUGAUGUUCCAGCUUCACCCUCUGGCACACUUCGCAGGCUGACACAAACUAUGCCACUUCUCUCUUCAUAGCUGGCCACCAAUAAACUUUCUUCAAAUCUUGGUACAUUUUGGUGGCUCCAGGGUGAACGCUGUAUCUUGCAUUAUGAGCCUCUCUCAUAAUGUCUCCCUUUAGCCCUACGUCAUCUGGUACACACAAACGACUCCCAUAGCGGAGGAUCCUCUUGUUGUCGAAUCUGAACUCACUAUCUUUGUUUGACUGAACAGUCCUGGCAAUCUUCACUAACUCUGGGUCCUCAUGCUGUUUCUGAGCCACCUGCUCCAGAAACACGGGUGCCAAUCUCAUCUGGGCAACUAAAGCACCUGUACCAGACAACUCCAACUGUAGACCUUCAUCAAUGAGUUUGUAAAACUCCUUCACCACUGGUCUCCUUUCCGCCGUGAUGUGGGAUAAACUGCCAGGUGAUUUCCGGCUUAGGGCGUCUGCCACAACAUUUGCCUUACCCGGAUGAUACUGAAUCUUGCAAUCAUAAUCACUCAGCAGUUCUACCCAUCUUCUCUGUCUCAAGUUCAAAUCUCUUUAACUCAGGAUGUAUUGUAGGCUUCUAUGAUCCGUGAAGGUCUCACAUUUAACCCCAUAGAGUUAGUGCCUCCACAUCUUGAGUGCAAAGAUUACUGCUGCCAUUUCUAGGUCAUGUGUGGGGUAAUUCAACUCAUGCUUCUUUAGCUACCUAGAAGCAUAAGCAAUUACCCUUUCAUUAUGCAUUAGCACACAACCCAAACCCACUCGGGAUGCAUCACAGAACACUGUGAAGUCCUCAUUGCUAGUUGGCAAAGCUAACACUGGUGCUGACGUUAAUCUCUUCUUAAGCUCUUCAAAACCCUCUUCGCACUGGUCGGUCCACACAAACUUCUGAUUCUUCCUAGUUAACCUGGUCAGAGGAGCUGCAAUUUUUGAGAAGUCCUGAACGAAUCUCCUGUAGUAACCUGCCAAACCCAAGAAACUUCUGAUUUCUGACACUGAAGUGGGUCUAGGCCAGUUAGCCACAGCUUCUACCUUCUUGGGGUCCACCUCUAUUCCAUUUUCUGACACAACAUGCCCCAAGAAUGAGAUGCUCUUCAGCCAGAACUCACACUUGGAGAACUUGGCAUACAAGCCGUGUUCCCUCAAGGUCUGUAGAACCAACCUCAGAUGAUGGGCAUGCUCCUCUGCAUUCCUGGAAUACACUAAGAUAUCAUCUAUGAAGACAAUAACAAAGUGAUCCAGGUACUGGCUAAACACUCUGUUCAUGAGAUCCAUGAAUGCUGCAGGGGCGUUGGUUAACCCGAACGGCAUCACAAGGAACUCAAAAUGCCCAUAUCUGGUUCUGAAAGCCGUCUUUGGCACAUCUUCCUCUCUUAUCCUUAGCUGAUGGUACCCAGAUCUCAGAUCUAUUUUGGAGAAACAACCCGCUCCAGAUAGCUGGUUGAAUAGAUCAUCGAUCCUUGGCAAAGGGUACCUGUUCUUGGUAGUGACUUUGUUCAACUGCCUGUAGUCGAUACAAAGUCUGAGGGAUCCAUCCUUCUUUCUCACAAAUAAAACUGGAGCACCCCAGGGUGAGGUACUCGGUCAGAUGAAGCCCUUGUCUACCAACUCCUGUAACUGCUCUUUCAACUUUUUCAAUUCUGCUGGUGCCAUCCUGUAGGGUGGGAUAGAGAUCGGUCGGGUUCCAGGCAUCAGUUCUAUCUCGAACUCUAUCUCCCUAGCAGGUGGUAAACCUGGCAGCUCGUCUGGAAAGACGUCUAGAAACUCUCUAACCACUGGCACCGAGGCGGGUUCUCUCACCUGACUGCUAAGCUUUCUCACAUGAGCCAAAUACCCCUGACAUCCCCUCCUAAGCAACCUACGAGCCUGAAGAGCUGAUAUCAGACCUCUAGGUGUACCCCUCCUGUCUCCUCUGAAGACUACCUCUGACCCAUCCUGACCUCUGAACCUGACUACCUUGUCCCUGCAGUCCAAGGUAGCACCAUGGGUAGAUAACCAGUCCAUCCCUAGAAUGACAUCAAAAUCUGUCAAGUCUAGAACCACAAGGUCGGCGGACAAGCAUCUUCCCUCAACAAAUACAGGGUUGCACUGGCAGACUCACUCUGCCACUAAUGGAUCACACUUGGGUCCACUGACCCAGAGAGGACACUCUAACCCAGAGAUCAUCAACCCCAACCUCUCAACGGCUCUCGGUGCAAUAAAAGAAUGAGAUGCACCAUGGUCCAUCAAGGCAUACACAUCUGAACAACCAAUGACUAAGUUACCUGCCACCACGGUGUUAGAUGCAUCUGCCUCCUGCUGUGUCAUUGUGAAGAUCCGUGCUGGAGCUGAUGGACCUUCACCUCUGAAACCCGCUGAUGAAGAGGCUGACCCUCUCCUUCUACCUCUGCCACUGGCCUGAGUCGUGGCUAGAGCUGCUGGCUGCGCUACACUACCAGAAGCUGCCUGCUGGGACUAUGCCAUCGGAACUGCUCUUGGACAUUCUCGAGACACAUGCCCCUCCUGACCACAUCUGUAACAGGUUGUCGUCCCAAACCGACAUACUCCCUUGUGUGGCUUACCACACCUUGCACAAACUGCAUUAUCCGCACCAGAGCUUGAGCCACCUCCAAAUCCCAGACUGGACUUAACCUUGUUCCAGAACUUGUUCUUCUUAGACUUCCUGGGGCCUCUGUCCCACUUUUUACUACCUGAAGCUGCUGCACUCAUUGAAGAAGAGCCUGGGGUCUUAGAACCAGAAGGCUGUGCCACUGACUGCUUGACUUUCCCCUCGAUGAUAGCACUAGCCUCCAUUCUCCUAGCCAUAUCCAUUAUGGCAUGGAAGCUCUCCCUAUCUGCAGACUGGAUCAAGGAGGAAUACCUGGAGUGAAGUUUCAUGAUAUACCUCCUUGACUUCUUCUGGUCUGUGUCAAGAGUUUGCCCUGCAAACGGCAACAGCUCCAAGAAUCUGUCGAUGUACUCAUCUACACUCAUUUCCUCUGUCUGCCUUAACUGUUCAAACUCAAUCAUCUUCAAUUCUCUUGAACUGUCAGGAAAAUCCCAUCCUGCAAAUUCAUUUGCAAACUCCUCCCAUGAUAGGCUGUCCAACCUCGGGCUCACAUAGUUCUUAAACCACUCACGGGCCUUUUUGCAUUUGAGUGUGAACCCAGCCAUCUGAAUGGCUCUACUGUCAUCAGCUCCUAUCUCAUCUGUAAUUGUUUUGACCCUCUCGAGGUACACAAAUGGGUCAUCACCGGUUUCAAACUGGGGAGCACCCAGCUUCAUGUAGUCGGUCAUCUUGACCUUGCUCCCACCAGAUGAGCUAGGCUUAGGCAUAUAGGUUGCUGGAACUGUGGGUUCUGCUAAUGGUGGAGAAGGUGCAACAUUUUCUAAGGUAGGGUUAGCUGGAUUUGGAUAGUAGAGUGGGGGUGGAUACAUUGGGUACUGAGGGUAUGGUGGGUAGUAGGGUGGGUAUGGCAUAUGUGUGGGAUAAGGGGUAAAGCUAGGGUAAUCCAAUGUACCUCCCAUCGAAUACCCGGGAUUUUGUGAGAAGUGUGGGUAGUGGGGUGGCUGAGCAAAUCCCGAGGCCUGAGUGCCUCCUUGGGACUCUCCCAUUCCCUCUUCUGACAUGCUAACUCCUAGACUGCCAUCUCUCCUCUGCUCUACAUCCAUAUCAUCCCCCAUGUCCUCUGACAUUCCUCCCUGAACUGUUCCCCUCACUGAUCUGCUUCUACCCAGAUCCAGAGACCUUCUAGGGUCUCUUACUGCUCUUUCUCUGCUAGCCCUACUAGACAUUGCCCUAGGCAAUGUAGGAGGACGGGCGCUCAUGCCCUCAUCCUCAGGUGGCACUCCAGUCAAUCGUGCAGAUCGACGAGUUCCUCUCAUCCUGUUUUCUGAAAAACAGCACAAUUCACACAAACAUCAGCAUUAAAUGGUUCAUGUGUCAACACAUGAACCCGCAUCAUAUACAUCACAUAACAAUCAUAACAUUAAUGCACAUGCAUAUUAUCAUGGCAUUUCACAUCAUUAUACAAGACAGGACUCCACAUCCUAUCUUAGUGGACAUGAUCUUUCCUAUUGUGCUUGACCUUCUAUAACAUCUAUGAGCCCGACACUCUAGGUCUGACCAUAUGAACCUAGGGCUCUGAUACCACUCUGUAACGACCCGAAAACCGGACCGCUACCGGCGCUAGGAUCCAGAUCGGCUUAAGACCGCCGGGACCCGUAGCAAGCCUGACAUAUAACCUGUGAACCUGUCAAAUCCCAUACAUGAUCAUACAUACACAAAAACCUGUAAACUUUUUCUUUCCAUAAAUCAAGCUUAACCAGUGCAUGCACACUAACAUAACCAUAAACCUCACACUGGAGCCCUCAUCACAUGCUCCAAUGGGGUAUCAAUAACAUACAUUAAGCUUGAUUACUCAUCUCAUCAAUAAUAAUAGUGACCAUGCAUUAAAAGGGAUAACCAUACACAUAGGGUCAAGCACAACCUCUAAUCCUCAAUAUCAUUAUUACAUAUCAUGACUACAUAAGACAUUACAUUACAAUUUUAUCAUGUCCACAACUUCUAACUAUUACAUGAAAUCAGACUUUACUCUUGACGACCUUCUGGUCUACCCUGUACCUGCAAACCUGAGGGAUAAGGGGAAAGGGGUGAGCUACAAGAGCCCAGUGAGCAGAAUAAUAUAACAUUCAAUUUAUUUUCCAUGCUUUCAUGAAAUGCAACAUAUCACAAACAAUUCAUAUCAAGGAUGAACUUGUCACCAAUAGCCCACUACUGAAUCCAAUAGUGCCAGGGGCGUAGUGCAGGCCACAUCUGGUCUUUCUCUUAUACAUAACAUAUCAUAACAUAUCCAAUCAUGCCGGGGGCGUAGUGCAGGCCACUUCCGGUCUUUCUCUUACAUAGUGCCAGGGGCGUAGUGAAGGCCACAUCUGGUCUUUCCUCAUCAUAUCAUAACGUAGUGCGGCUAAAGGAUCAUCCAACAUUCAUCCACAUGAACAACAUAUUAUGCAAUGCAACAUAUUCGUGAUUUCUAACGCAAGCAACCUAAAAUAUCACAUGGCAUUCAUGAUGCAUGAAUAUGCUCAAGAUUUUCAUUUAUUUAAAAGAUAAGAGUUUAUUCUACUCACCUCAACUACUUCUGACAAAGACUGAAACAGCUGACUCACUGCUGGGGUCCUCGGAUCCUCGGGUCUGAACCUACACAGGUGGACUCAAAUGAGGGACUAAACAUACUAGAACAUGACUCUAAAAACAUCCCCCAAAACCCCCUUAAAACACCUCAAAACAUCCAUGGAAAGCAUGCAAAGGAAGGCUGAACAGGGCACUUUCGGCGGCAGGUUCGGCGGCCGAAAGUCCCUCCAGAGCCGAAAGUCAGGCAGGUUCGGCGGCACUUUCGGCGGCCGAAACUCGCAGACAGAGACGAAACUCAUGCAUGUUCGGCGACACUUUCGGCGGCCGAAACUGCCCUCCAGAGAUGAAAGUCCUCUUUCGGGGGCAGGCUUCGGCAGCCAAAGGCUGCUUCCACAAGCGGGUUCGGCGGCCGAAAGUUCCUUCGGCGGCCGAACCUGAGUUUCUCCAAAGUGGCAGAAACUCAGCUCCAACAUGUACAAACGCCUCCCAAACCUUUCAAACAUGCAUAAACCUAUUCUACAACACUCCCAAUCAUACACAAUCAAGCAUACAAGUUCAUAGGGGUCUCAAACUAGCCUAAACCCCAACUACAACACAUCAAACAUACCCACAUUGCUAAAAAACACAC
rnacentral:lncRNA from 1 species